GGGAUGUGAUGAGUGGCAAAUGCUUGCAUUUAAUAUGCAAGAGGGGUGUCUGCCCCAGCCUGGUUACGACAGUGGGCACUCUCUUUUUGACCUAUCUGAUCCC